CACUCGCGGGAGGCAGCAGUGGGGAAUAUUGGACAAUGGGCGCAAGCCUGAUCCAGCCAUGCCGCGUGAGUGAUGAAGGCCCUAGGGUUGUAAAGCUCUUUCACCGGUGAAGAUAAUGACGGUAACCGGAGAAGAAGCCCCGGCUAACUUCGUGCCAGCAGCCGCGGUAAUACGAAGGGGGCUAGCGUUGUUCGGAUUUACUGGGCGUAAAGCGCACGUAGGCGGACUAUUAAGUCAGGGGUGAAAUCCCGGGGCUCAACCCCGGAACUGCCUUUGAUACUGGUAGUCUUGAGUUCGAGAGAGGUGAGUGGAAUUCCGAGUGUAGAGGUGAAAUUCGUAGAUAUUCGGAGGAACACCAGUGGCGAAGGCGGCUCACUGGCUCGAUACUGACGCUGAGGUGCGAAAGCGUGGGGAGCAAACAGGAUUAGAUACCCGAGUAGUCCCA
rnacentral:rRNA from 1 species